rnacentral:rRNA from 1 species
UACGGAGGGGACUAGCGUUGUUCGGAAUUACUGGGCGUAAAGCGCACGUAGGCGGAUUUGUAAGUCAGGGGUGAAAUCCCGGGGCUCAACCUCGGAACUGCCUUUGAUACUGCAAAUCUCGAGUCCGGAAGAGGUGAGUGGAAUUCCUAGUGUAGAGGUGAAAUUCGUAGAUAUUAGGAAGAACACCAGUGGCGAAGGCGGCCUGCUGGGCUGUUGCUGACGCUGAGGCGCGACAGCGUGGGGAGCAAACAGG